CGCCGGUUGUGAACGUCGGUCCGUAAGUUUGGCCGGUUCCAGAUGAGCAAAACGAAUUACCGUCGUCCCCGUGAUAACCAUAAGACUGUUUGUCCCAACCUGAAGACAAUAUUUCCGUUAGGACACAACACAACAGGGUCGAAACGUCGCCGUUGAUGGAACAGUUUCAGACUCACGUUCGAUCGAAAUGAUCAAAGCAAAAAACUGACCAGGCGACAUUUUAGGCGGAAGCCCGUUAUGUCGUACGGAUUCUUUGGGAGGCGACGGAUUUUACAGUAAAAACAAUUGAGUAAUACUGCUUGUGUUUUGUUUUAAUUUUAAUUGAAAAAGAUGAAGGAGCGGAACAUGGCCAAUUAAAAUAAACAAAUUUAUUUUGUCGAUUGUUUUCAAUAAAAUUUUACCAUAGAAGCGAACCGCAAACAACAUUUAAUUUCAAAUUGACAAAACGUGCCGAAAGUCGAAAAAACAUGCCUGCAAUGCUCUUUGAGUUUGCUAUUUGGCUAAUAGCCCCAGUUCACAUGUAUCUUCUCAUGGCUUUGUUCCACAUGAUGCUGCUCCCCGACGAAACUGAUAGAUACGAAAGAAAUAACGGCACCGACGACGGAUACAUGUGGUAACAGACACUGCAACUUUGCCCCCCUGUAAUCAUAUUACCCCCAUUUAAUCUAUUUUACAAUGUAUUGCGUAUUCGUAUUGUAUAAUCAUUCAGAUCUGACUUUUGUAUGACAAUUUGCCAAAUUAAAGACCUCCUUUGAA